UGAAGGGUAUCACUCCAAACAUUUUGAGUUACGGAAAAUCAAGGCAUAUCAAACUGGUUUCAGCACUGGGGGUAUAUGCUCUGAUCUCAGCCAACAAAAGGUAGAAACGCAAUGAGGACACUAAUGUUCAGAUGCCAGAAAUUAUCCUGCAGGGAAAGUAAGAAUGGCUAACAAUAAGUUUCCAGAAUAUAUUGUCUUCCUGUUUUUUUUAAUCUGCUCUACCAGGUCAUUGUUGAUGGUAGUCACAUUGCGAAAGUCGUAGGAGUGAGAGAUGCAAGUGGCCAAUGUAUUUGUACCAUGCAUCUGGCCAACGUCGUCUUUCCUGCGCCAAGGGUGGAGCAACUGGAGAGUGACUUCUACAACCUGACUAAUCAAUUGCAGGAACAACUGAAUGAGAUUUAUAAUGGCAGAAAUAAUAUGUCUAUUAUUACAACCAACUUAACUGACCUGGCAGCACGCAUAAAGUAUGCAAAGACGUAUGGCACUCACAUUGAUCUGAACUUCGACAAGGUUAUCAAUGACCUUCAAUCAGUGAUAGCAGUGGCACAGGAUAUAAGCAAGAAUGCAACCACAGAUAGCACAAAGAAACUGGUUGACAGCUUGAUUGAACAGGUAAUGGGAUCGUGGUAAUGAAUCCUAAGGGGAUUCUAUCCAGAUUUUAGGUAGUCAUAAGUAGAGAUAUAGAUAAAUGUAUGACGGAUGUAGUUUAUCCUGGGUUUCUAAGAGAAUGACUUCUUGCAUUCAAAACAAGCACAGAGGUGCAUCUACAAUGUAGAAUUAAUGUAGUUUAACACCCCUAAUUGCCAUGUCUUAAUGCUAUGGAAUCAUGGGAGUAGUGGUUUUACAAGGUCUUUAACCUUCUCUGCCAAAGGGUGUCCAUACCACAUCAAACUACAACUCCCAUGAUUCCAUAGCAUUUUUUAAUGUCAGGAGCAACUUGAAAAACUGCAAGUCGCUUCUGGUGUGAGAGAAUUGGCCAUCUGCAAGGACGUUGCCCAGAGGAUGCCCGGAUGUUUUGAUGUUUAUACUAUCCUUGUGGGAGGCUUCUCUCAUGUCCCCUGCAUGGCGCUGGAGCUGAUAGAGGGAGUUCAUCUGAGCUCUCUCCGGGUUGGAUUUGAACCGGCAACCUUUAGGUCAGCAACCCAACCUUCAAGUCAUCAGUCCUGCUGGCACAAAGGUUUAAUCCACUGAGCCACCAAGGGCUCCCAUAGCAUUGAGCAAUGGUAAUUAAAGUGCUUUCAAGCUGCAUUUCUUUUACAGUGUAGAUGCACACCAAAUUCAAUUCCCCCCUCUUUUCUUUCCUGAAACAAUAGACAUUAUCAGGCAAUAAAGUGAUAUUAAAGAAGUUUGGAAAAUAAAUCUGACCUCAGUUCAGCAUGAAUAUUCUUCCCUUACUCUGCUAGUAAGAAGAAAGUCAGGUUCAUAUAUCACAUUUCCCUAAUUAAAGUAUCACCUACUAUCCUUGCUGCAUUUGCUAAGACAUAAACUAUUAGGGAAGCAAUGUGGUGUGAUGGUUGGUGUGUUACAGCAGGACUGUUGGAGGUCAGGGUUCAAUUCACUGCUCAGACAUGUGCAAUUCACUGUGUGAUCUUGGGCAAGCCAUACUUUCUCAUCCUUGGACAAAGGCUUUGGCAAAAACCCCUGCGAAUAAAUGUGACCAAGAAAACUACAGGAUAGUGUAACCAAAAAUUGGUGCAUAACAACAAGACCAUCCUAUCAGGGAAUGACACCAGGUAUGAAUACUCUUUCCAUGAAGCAAAUGAAUGAGGAUCAAAUGAUCAUUGUCAUCAUUUCAUGACAGAUGACCGUUGUUUGAAACACAAUCAUUUGCAAUUGUGCAGAGUACGUCUUAAUGGUCCUCUCAGUACUGGUUAGGUCAAAGCAUAUGGCACUGAAUAGACCUUACACCUGGCUCUGCUUGCAUUGGUGGAUAAUUGCUGCCCCAAAACUUUCCUGUUAUGACGCUACUACAGUGGAGAAACUGCAGGAGAAUAAGUUUCCAAAGCUAGCCAAGUAUUGUAGGUAGGGUGUCCUGAGAGAUUAUUUUGUGUGACCAGUAGUCUACAAAGUCUGCUUGCUUUCAAGUAAAGCGGAAGGUAGAUGGCAGCAAUGGUGGGGCACAUGGUAUUUCUUUCCCACACCAGAGAGAGAUUACCUAAGAAGCAGAGAGAUCACUGCUUCUUGGUCACGAAAUGUUUUGGCAGCAGUAAAAGGUGUCUGAAUACCACACAUUUACACAAAUCUGUUAGCAACCCUGUUCAAUGUUUACAGUGUGCUCUGUCAAAAAUGCUUCAGCUUUACUCCACAGAAAGGAAAACCAGCUUCUUUAGUAAGCCUUGCA
rnacentral:lncRNA from 1 species